UACGUAGGGUGCGAGCGUUGUCCGGAAUUAUUGGGCGUAAAGAGCUCGUAGGCGGCUUGUCACGUCGGAUGUGAAAGCCCGGGGCUUAACUCCGGGUCUGCAUUCGAUACGGGCUAGCUAGAGUGUGGUAGGGGAGAUCGGAAUUCCUGGUGUAGCGGUGAAAUGCGCAGAUAUCAGGAGGAACACCGGUGGCGAAGGCGGCGACCUGGGUAGAUACUGACGCUGAGGUGCGAAAGCGUGGGGAGCAAACAGG
rnacentral:rRNA from 1 species